CCUUCGCAAUAGAAACUUAUGAACCCCGUCAGGUCAGGAAUGAAGCAGCGGUAAGUAAGACCUUCUAUGUGCCGGAGGAUCAUCUGAUUUGAGCUAACUGCCUGUGUAACGCUUGGAAGUUGGUAGUCGAAGUGGGGUGCACGA
rnacentral:SRP_RNA from 1 species